GAGAGAGGGAGCCCAGAGAUGGAUUCUGAGACACGAAUCCAGGCCCUACGGGGCGCAGCAGUCGCGAAAACUUCACAAUGGAGGCAACUCCGAUGAGGGAACUCCUAGUGCUAUUACAUUUAGUGAUAGCUUUUCUCAAGCGUAGAUAACUUGAGGAAUAAGGGCUGGGUAAGACGGGUGCCAGCCGCCGCGGUAAUACCCGCAGCCCAAGUGGUGGUCGACUUUAUUGAGUCUAAAACGUUCGUAGCCGGUUCAUUAAAUCCUUGGGUAAAUCGGGAAGCUUAACUUUCCGACUUCCGAGGAGACUGGUGAACUUGGGACCGGGAGAGGCAAGAGGUACUUCUGGGGUAGGGGUAAAAUCCUGUAAUCCUAGAAGGACCACCGGUGGCGAAGGCGUCUUGCUAGAACGGAUCCGACGGUGAGGGACGAAGCCCUGGGUCGCAAACGGGAUUAGAUACCCCGGUAGUCCAGGGUGUAAACGCUGCAGACUUGGUGUUGGAGACCCUUCGUGGGUGUUCAGUGCCGGAGAGAAGUUGUUAAGUCUGCUACUUGGGGAGUACGUCCGCAAGGAUGAAACUUAAAGGAAUUGGCGGGGGAGCACCGCAACGGGAGGAACGUGCGGUUUAAUU
rnacentral:rRNA from 1 species